rnacentral:lncRNA from 1 species
UAGGCUUAUAAUUAUACACGACAUCCUUCCGAGAUAAAAGCGAUUACCGGGGAUGCAAAUCACUUAGCAACCAAUCAGUGCCCCCAGAGUGCGGAGCACUGACCAGCCAUCCAUUUUCGCCUCGUCCUUUUAUUCCCUGCAUCGAGCAAAUACAAACACAGAUAAAGAGAGGCACAAUAGCUCUUGACACGCAAAUAGGUUAACAUAAUAAAGCCAGCUUUAGCCGGCUCACUCGAGGGAGAAAAGCAAUUCUCAGGCAAGCAGGAGGUAAUAAAACAGGGCUUUUGUGUUCCUGGCUCCCAUUCUCACCCCUGCGCCAGCUUUGCUGCAUUAGCUGAUAGGCAUCGUGGUUUGAUUGAAUUACCUUUCAUGAAUAUUAGCUUUUUGAGGAAUGCGCAGGCAGAAGAGAAAGAAGAAAUGUCUUAUUUUUGCAUGCAUGCGCCUGCUGCAGACGGACAUGCGGCGGCACAGAUGCCGGCGGGGGCCGGGAGAGGGGUCCCGGCAGGUGCAGCCCCCGGCCCACCCCGCCAGCUGCAGCAUCCCCAGCCUUGGGGGGGUCACACACACACCGCCUCCAUCCCAGGGUGAGACCUCACCCAGGGACACACAUCCUGCUGUCCCCACAUGGAGUCGUAGGGACCAUCACCCUCCACGCUCAGGACCCCGCAUCCCUGCCCGUGGUACCCCAACAGCCGGAGGGGACUGGGCUGGGCUGGCUCCCCGCACACAUUCCCGAGCCCACCGCUCCCUGUGCCGCAGCAUCACGCCGGGGAGGGAGCGGGGGGCUGCCCGGCUCCACCGCAGAUUUUUUCCCUCACAAGUUGAGGCCACGCAGAAAACCUGCUCCAGGCAAAAAUUAACUCCGCCGCCUGGCAGGGAUGCAAACCCCCGGCAGUGAUGCCGCACGCACGGCGGGGAGCGCGGGGACAGCUCCGGGACGGCGGCGGGCACGGGGCACCGGCUCCGGGGCAUCACCCCCGUGGGGUCGUGGGACCGGGAGACCCUCGGUCCCAGAGCCAGAGCCCUUCCCCGGGCAGGGCAGCAGCACGCAAUUAAAAACAGCCCCAGGAGGGAAGGGGCUCCUCCGCAGCCCGCUUAGGGAUGGACGAAUUUCAGGCUUAAAACAACCAGAGGGGCUAAAAAACUAAGGUGACGUGGUCUCAGCAGCCUGGCAGCAGCCACUCAUGUGGUCCUUCCAUGGACUUCCCUGCUCCAGCCUGAGGGCAAAUAUUCACACCGAGAUAUUGCAAUUUUUAACGACACGCUUGGCUGAAGCAGGGCCCAGCUCACAGCCGGCGCUGCUCCGGCAUCAAGAACGUGCCUUACUGGUACCGACCCUCAGACCAGCAGGAAAGAUGCUCCUGAAGCUGGGAAAACAAGCCCUGCUCCCAGGGAAUGGCAUUCCCGUCCCCUGCUCUGCACACAAGGUAAGCAGAAGGCACCGCGGUAAGAGCAUCCCUCUCCUUCCACCACGACCCCACCGCACCCGGCUCACGCCGUCCCCUCCUCAAAGUUUUAUGGAUCCUUCAUAAGAAAAAUCCCUCGCAGAAUGCCGGGUGCCCUCUGCCAGGGACAUUUCCCACCUCACCACCGCCUGGGUGUGAGAGCUUUGCCGGCCAGGGUCGCACAUGUGUGGCCACUGACCAGUGACUGGCACCCCGGGCAGUCAAACCCCACCACAGGGGCAUGAGGAGGGGUAAAACUGCCAAAUCCCACUAAAUUAUCCCGAGAACGACGCUGGACGCUCCUUGUUGAGAGAAGGGCCACGUGGCUCUGUCCCCAUGGUCACUCUGCCCUCCAUGAAAGCUCCUCACCCAGAGCAUCCCGAGCAGGAGGAUGCACAUAUAAAUAUAUAUAUAUAUAUAUACACACACACAAAUACGUAUCAAAAACCUCCCUACGGAAAUCCCAACAACCAGAGCCGGGCAAACCACCACUGCCCAAUGCCAGUGAAUUCAUCCCUUGGCAAACACCAAGCACGGCUGGAAAACUUUGCCACUGCCUCUCCUCGGAAAUACCCCGCAGGGCCGGAGCCGAGCCCCGCUUGCAGCCGUGCCCUGCAGCGAGCUGUGCCGUGCCGUGCCGUGCCGCCGCCGGCUCGCUGCGUCCAGGCCCUGCCUCUCCAGCCAUUAAAUCUCCACGAUGUGACGGCUCUCCCCGGAGCUGGAUUGGGACGCUGGCACCGGCAACACCUCAUUUCUGCCGGGGACCGAGCCGGAGAGGCGGCACAGCUCGCUCGUCCCCGGCUGGAGCCGCCGGCCGCCCCGGUGGAUGCCCAGCCGUGCUGCCCAGGAGCUCUCGGGGACCACGAUGCCUCGUCCCCGGUGAAUCGUAUUCCCAGCGCCGAUGGUCCAGAAGACACCACAGGGAUGAUGUCUCCGCAGCCGAGCUUUUUCCAGAGGGGAUUUUCCCCGGCAGAGCCUCCUGACCCGGCGGAGGCAGCCAGGGAGACGGGUGUUAAAUAAACCAUCGCUGGGUGGGUCCUUCUUCCCUCUCCUUUGUGACCGGCGGGAUCCACACCAGGCGCGGGGUCCAUGGCGGGGUCCUGCUCUGCCACCACCCGCUCCGGUGUCGCGGUGGGAUCGGGCGCUUUCCUGCCCGGGACGGAGGAGAAAAACCCUUUUUUUUUUUUUUUUUUUUUUUUUUCUCCGAGGCGAAAA